rnacentral:rRNA from 1 species
GGGAAUCUGCCCUUGGGUUCGGAAUAACAGUUAGAAAUGACUGCUAAUACCGGAUGAUGACUUCGGUCCAAAGAUUUAUCGCCCAAGGAUGAGCCCGCGUAGGAUUAGCUUGUUGGUGAGGUAAAGGCUCACCAAGGCGACGAUCCUUAGCUGGUCUGAGAGGAUGAUCAGCCACACUGGGACUGAGACACGGCCCAGACUCCUACGGGAGGCAGCAGUGGGGAAUAUUGGACAAUGGGCGAAAGCCUGAUCCAGCAAUGCCGCGUGAGUGAUGAAGGCCUUAGGGUUGUAAAGCUCUUUUACCCGGGAUGAUAAUGACAGUACCGGGAGAAUAAGCCCCGGCUAACUCCGUGCCAGCAGCCGCGGUAAUACGGAGGGGGCUAGCGUUGUUCGGAAUUACUGGGCGUAAAGCGCACGUAGGCGGCUUUGUAAGUUAGAGGUGAAAGCCCGGAGCUUAACUCCGGAACUGCCUUUAAGACUGCAUCGCUUGAAUCAUGGAGAGGUUAGUGGAAUUCCGAGU